CCUUGCGAUCUACCCUUGAGCAGGUUGAAGGUUGGGUAAAGCCAACUGGAGGUCCGAACGAAUAAGCGUUGAAAAGCUUCUCGAUGACUUGAGGGUAGGGGUGAAAGGCUAAUCAAGCUGGGAAAUAGCUCGUACUCCCCGAAAUGCCUUUAGGGGCAGCGUUGUAAUUGAGAGUCUACUGGAGGUAGAGCUACUGAUUGGAUGCGGGGGCUUCACCGCCUACCAAAUCCUGACAAACUCCGAAUGCCAGUAGUAUGAUUUACAGCAGUGAGCGACCGGGUGCUAAUGUCCGGUUACGAGAGUGGAACAACACAGACCAGCAACUAAGGUCCCGAAGAGUAUACUAAGUUGAUCUAACGAUGUUUUGCUGCAGAGACAGCUAGGAUGUUAGCUUGGAAGCAGCUAUUCAUUCAAAGAGUGCGUAACAGCUCACUAGUCGAGCGGCAAAGCGUGGAUAAUAAACGGGCAUCAAGUAUACCACCGAAGUUCUGGGCACGAGAGUGCGGUAGGGGAGCAUUCCAUUGACGUCGAAGCCCUUCCGUGAGGAUAGGUGGAGUUUAUGGAAAAGCAAAUGUAGGCAUGAGUAACGAUAAUGCGGGAGAGUAACCCGCACACCGCAAGACCAAGGUUUCCUGAUCAACGCUAAUCGGAUCAGGGUUAGUCGGGUCCUAAGGGUAAGCCGAACGGCGAUCUCGAUGGAUAAUCGGUUAAUAUUCCGAUACUGACAUAUACCUCGAUGGAGAGACGAAAUCGCGUAAGUACCGCCUCCUGACGGAAUAGGAGGUUAAAGGGCGUAUGUAUAGGGGCAGAUUAAGAGUCAGUCCUUGCUGAAACCCGACAGUACAGAGAGCCUACGGGCAAUUUGAUAGUGCACCCAAGUCGACUUCCGAGAAAAUCUUCUAAGUUAUAGUAUAUGUCACCCGUACCGUAAACCGACACAGGUGGUCGAGGAGAGUAUCCUAAGGUGCUCGAGUGAAUCACGGUUAAGGAACUAGGCAAAUUAACCCCGUAACUUCGGGAAAAGGGGUCCCAUCGCGAGGUGGGCGCAGCGAAGAGGUCCAGGCGACUGUUUAUCAAAAACACAGGGCUCUGCAAAUUCGAAAGAAGACGUAUAGGGCCUGACACCUGCCCGGUGCUGGAAGGUUAAGAGGGGAUGUCAUCGCAAGAGAAGCAUUGAAUCGAAGCCCCAGUAAACGGCGGCCGUAACUAUAACGGUCCUAAGGUAGCGAAAUUCCUUGUCGGGUAAGUUCCGACCUGCACGAAUGGUGUAACGAUCUGGACACUGUCUCAACCGUGAGCUCGGUGAAAUUGUAGUCCCGGUGAUGAUGCCGGGUACCCGCAACGGGACGAAAAGACCCCGUGAACCUUUACUAUAGCUUAACGCUGAAUUUGGGUACACAAUGUGUAGGAUAGGCAGGAGACUACGAAGCGGGCACGCCAGUGUUCGUGGAGUCGACGUUGAAAUACUGCCCUUUGUGUACUUGAGUUCUAACCCUCGAGAGGGGACACCGUUUGGUGGGUAGUUUGACUGGGGUGGUCGCCUCCAAAAGAGUAACGGAGGCUUCCCAAGGUACCCUCAGCACGAAUGGUAACCGUGCGCAGAGUGCAAUAGCAUAAGGGUGCUUGACUGUGAGACCAACAAGUCGAUCAGGUGCGAAAGCAGGGUAUAGUGAUCCGGUGGUUCUG
rnacentral:rRNA from 1 species